UUUUUUUUUCAGAAAUUAUGUACUGUGAGAAAGCUUUUUCCUUCCCACCUAAGAAAGACUGGCCCCUAAGAGGGGCUUCGAUUAGUUUACUUGAUCUAUGAAUAUGGUUGGCAGUUUUUUUCCCCCUCUCAGGGAGAUGUUGCUCUGUUUAGCCCAUACCAGAACUAGAUUUGAGAGAGUAGAACAAUUAGGCUGCCAGUUUCAAUGAUUGAGGUAUUCAGAUGAAAAAAUAUAUAUAACUGAAGGAUUUUUAUAUUCUGGUUUUCCACAAAUAAUUUAUUUGGGGUUCAAAAUGAAAUGUGAACAAAUUUAUUGAGCUCCAAAAAUAGGUAUAAAAUAUAGACACACACACAUAUGUAACAUUUCUCCUUUUCAGUUUUUUUCUGUGUCUCUAAUCAUGUAAAAUAAGGCUAUAUAGACUGUUGGUAUCUUUAAUCACCUCCAAGGGUGAGAUAAAAUUAUAUGCACUUAAACAGAGUCAGGAUUUAACCGUUUGUAUUCCAUGCGAACAGGAUAUGGGUGUUUAGAGCUAAUUUGCCUCUCUUCCAGUUAUUGUUGGUGGCUUAAUGAGAAUGGAUCAAGAGAAUCAGUGCUCUAAUUUCAGAGAAAGAGAAGGAAUCUCCCUCCAUGUACCACUGGGUAUGAAAUUAUUCUUUUCUUUCCAUCGUUUUUUUGUACUCUAAAAAAAUAAAAUAAAACUAAGCAGUGAUAAUAAAGGCAGCUGUUAACAAAAAC
rnacentral:lncRNA from 1 species